rnacentral:lncRNA from 1 species
CUUACAUAUUUCCUCCUUCCCUUUUACAAGAUAACCCUAAGGGUUCUAAGGGUUGCAAAAGGAUGAAGGGUUGCAGAAGGAUGAAGGUCCGUCUCCUGCAAUUUUUUCAUGCUGAAUAGGGUCUAUGAUAUUCCUGCCUAACUAUUGGGGUCUCUUGUAUUUAGGGUAGAGAGGAGCUCAAUCAGAAAGCAUUAGUCCGUUAAGCAUCGGUUGUACCUCUGAGUUCCAGCAAAAGGUAAAACUCUGGCGCUCCAGCAGUUUCUCAGCUUCCUGUGUGGUUUCCUUGAUCUGUCCCCAUGGUACCUGUUAGUUCCUGCAAGUUCCUGCAAGUCUCUGUCUGUCCCUACCUAUCUCUCUUUCCUUAUCUCUAUUUCCUUAUCUCUACUUAUUUCUUAUUGUCCCUGCAGGCCUCUUCAGGUCCCUUCAGGUCUCUGUCCCUGAUAGUUCCUUUAAGUUUCUGCUAGUCUUUGCUAGUCUCUACUUUUGUAUCUCUUUAGGACACUGACCUUAUAUUGCUCUUAUAUUGCUAGUCUUUGCUAGUCUUUAUCCCUAUCUGUCCCUAUUUGUCCCUGUUCGGGCACCACUUGUGACUGACUGCCAUGGUUACUACUUGAGGCCAUCACUACAACAGUUACUACUGUUACUGCUUGAGACCAUCAUUAUGACUGAACAAAGGGAUAAACACAGAAAUGAUGACAAAAGAAACUAUUUAAAGGAAAGGCUAGCAUGGAGAAGAGGAAGAGAGCUCCCUGCUUCUAGUGAGCAAAGGCAGCCCCCCCUUGAGCUUCUACAGCCCUUCUUAUUAGGUAACAAGAGCAAGGAGGAGGAGAAAACCUAUGCCAACCAUGCUCAGAGGAGAUGUAAUGACAGAGAAAGCUUUAAAGAGAUGUUACAUUAUAAGGACUUGACCUCUGCUUUCUGGGACUGAAGACGGAGAAAUGAGGCGAUAAACCAAGAUGGAGUCUUGCUCUGUCACCAAGGCUGGAGUAUAAUGGUGUGAUCUCAGCUUACUGCAACCUCUGCCUCCUGGGUUCAGUCGAUUCCCCUGCCUCAGCCUCCCAAGUAGCUGGAACUACAGGCACGUGCCACCAUGUUUGGCUAAUUUUUGUAUUUUUAGUACAGACAUGGUUUCAUCAUCUUGGCCUGGCUAAUUUUUGUAUCUUUAGUAGAGAUGAGGUUUCACCAUGUUGACCAGGCUGGUCUUGAACUCCUGACCUCAAGUGAUCCUCCUGCCUUGGCCUCUCAAAAUUCUGGGACUGCAGGUGGGAGCUACCACACCUGGCCUAUUAUUUGUCUGUUCUUUAUCCAAUAUCACACUAUCUUGGAUACUAUAGCUUUAAAAGAAGACUUGAAAUCAGGUAGUGUAAAUUAUUCGGUUUUAUUUGACUAGUUCAAUAUUGUGUUUACUAUUCUGGGAUUUUUGCAUCUUUCUAUAAACUGUAUUAUCAGUUUGUUGAUAUCCACAAACAACAUUCUGUGAUUUUGAUUGAAAUUAAAUUGAAUAUGUAGAUAAAAUUAGAAAGAACUGACAUAGUGACAAUAUUGAGAUUUCUUGUUCAUGAACAUAGGCUAACCCUUAAUUUAUUCAGAUCUUCUUCAGUUUUGUACUCAUUAGAAUUCAGUAGAUUU